ACAUGCCUACAACACAAUAUUAACACACCGGAUCCCAUUAGAACUUCGCAAUUAAGCACGCUCAUGCUAGAGUAUUACUAGGAUGGUUCACCUUGCAAGAAGUCCCUGUGUUUUACAUGCC
rnacentral:rRNA from 1 species